rnacentral:rRNA from 1 species
CACUCCUGCGGGAGGCAGCAGUGGGGAAUUUUGGACCAUGGGCGAAAGCCUGAUCCAGCAAUGCCGCGUGAGUGAAGAAGGCCUUCGGGUUGUAAAGCUCUUUUGUCAGGGAAGAAACGGUGAGAGCUAAUAUCUUUUGCUAAUGACGGUACCUGAAGAAUAAGCACCGGCUAACUACGUGCCAGCAGCCGCGGUAAUACGUAGGGUGCAAGCGUUAAUCGGAAUUACUGGGCGUAAAGCGUGCGCAGGCGGUUUUGUAAGUCUGAUGUGAAAUCCCCGGGCUCAACCUGGGAAUUGCAUUGGAGACUGCAAGGCUAGAAUCUGGCAGAGGGGGGUAGAAUUCCACGUGUAGCAGUGAAAUACGUAGAUAUGUGGAGGAACACCGAUGGCGAAGGCAGCCCCCUGGGUCAAGAUUGACGCUCAUGCACGAAAGCGUGGGGAGCAAACAGGAUUAGAUACCCCAGUAGUCCCAUG